rnacentral:rRNA from 1 species
AUUGAACGCUGUCGGCAGGCCUAACACAUGCAAGUCGAACGAGUGGCGGACGGGUGAGUAAUGUCUGGGAAACUGCCUGAUGGAGGGGGAUAACUACUGGAAACGGUAGCUAAUACCGCAUACCAUCAGAUGUGCCCAGAUGGGAUUAGCGUGUUGGUGGGGUAACGGCUCACCAAGGAGACGAUUCCUAGCUGGUCUGAGAGGAUGACCGGGCACACUGGAACUGAGAAAUGGGCCAAACGCCUAGGGGAGGGAGGAGGGGGGAAUAUUGGCAAAUGGGGGCAAGGCGGAAGGAGCCAUGCCGGGGGUGUGAAGAAGGGCUUCGGGUUGGAAAAGACCUUUAGGCGGGAAGCGUUAACCGCCGAAGAAGCACCGGCUAACUCCGUGCCAGCAGCCGCGGUAAUUC